GGAAAAUUGGUGGAUUUCAAGGAAUCAAGCAAUCAAAGGCUCAGAAUAGAUUGUAGAUAACUGAUUUCGGUGAGGACUACAGCUGGACUUGCCACAUCUAAAAACUUUACUCACAGGGGAAAUGAGAAGCUGAUAUUAAAGCCUUG